AGUGAACGCUGGCGGUAGGCCUAACACAUGCAAGUCGAACGGCAGCACAGUAAGAGCUUGCUCUUACGGGUGGCGAGUGGCGGACGGGUGAGGAAUACAUCGGACUCUACUUUUUCGUGGGGGAUAACGUAGGGAAACUUACGCUAAUACCGCAUACGACCUACGGGUGAAAGCAGGGGAUCUUCGGACCUUGCGCUAUUGAAUGAGCCGAUGUCGGACUAGCUAGUUGGCGGGGUAAAGGCCCACCAAGGCGACGAUCCGUAGCUGGUCUGAGAGGAUGAUCAGCCACACUGGAACUGAGACACGGUCCAGACUCCUACGGGAGGCAGCAGUGGGGAAUAUUGGACAAUGGGCGCAAGCCUGAUCCAGCCAUACCGCGUGGGUGAAGAAGGCCUUCGGGUUGUAAAGCACUUUUGUUGGGAAAGAAAAGCAGAAGGUUAAUACCCCGCUGUUCUGACGUUACCCAAAGAAUAAGCACCGGCUAACUUCGUG
rnacentral:rRNA from 1 species